GAUGAAGAACGUAGCGAAAUGCGAUAAGUAAUGUGAAUUGCAGAAUUCAGUGAAUCAUCGAAUCUUUGAACGCACAUUGCGCCCGCCAGUAUUCUGGCGGGCAUGCCUGUUCGAGCGUCAUUUCAACCAUCAAGCCCCCGGCUUGUGUUGGGGACCUGCGGCUGCCGCAGGCCCUGAAAACCAGUGGCGGGCUUGCUAGUCACUCCGAGCGUAGUAAUACAUCUCGCUCAGGGCGUGCUGCGGGUUCCGGCCGUUAAAAAGCCUUAUUUACCCAAGGUUGACCUCGGAUCAGGUAGGAAGACCCGCUGAACUUAAGCAUAUCAAUAAGCGGAGGA
rnacentral:misc_RNA from 1 species